GCCUCAGUAGUGUUGUAAUAGAUCAGCAUGGCAGACCGGAUAUCUGUAAGUGCGGGUUCAAGUCCCGCCUGAGGUU
rnacentral:tRNA from 1 species